AAGCCAAAGUCAUCUUCCCUCACAGAUAUUGAAUCCCAAGCAAUAUACCUGGGAGAUGCCUCAAAAUUAGAGGUUCAAGCAGGAUGAAGUUUGGAACUUUCCAGGGAGCCAGCUGGAAGUGCAGAAAUGACAGAAAACUUUUGCAGAACGGGCAGGAGCUGAGAGCAGGAGGGGCGGAAGCGGCAUGGGGAAGUGCCGGGAGAUGAGGCUGCUACAAUGUCACCUGAAUUGGGAGAUGAGGCUGCUGGAAUGUCACCUGAAUCGGGAGAUGAGGCCGCUACAAUGUCACCUGAAUCGGGAGAUGAGGCCGCUACAAUGUCACCUGAAUCGGGAGAUGAGGCCGCUGCAAUGCCGGCUGAAUCGGCUGGAAACUCCUUCCCUGCAGGAGCCAGAGCAGAUCCCUCCUGGCCAGGCUGGUUGGCAGCCGCUGGAUCUGCUCUGGGGUAGAACCCCCUGCCCUGCCAGCAGCCCCGACUCUGCUUUCCCUCCCCGCUCCUGAGGGUGUCAGCGCUGCCGUGAGGGAGCUCAGACCCAAAAACCCCACAGCCCACAGAGUGAACGAUCCCAACAGGGAAAUGCGGUGUUGUGAUAAAAAUUCUGUUAAAAAGGCUGUGACAGCACUGUAAU
rnacentral:lncRNA from 1 species